rnacentral:rRNA from 1 species
AGUGAACGCUGGCGGUAGGCCUAACACAUGCAAGUCGAACGGCAGCACAGUAAGAGCUUGCUCUUACGGGUGGCGAGUGGCGGACGGGUGAGGAAUACAUCGGAAUCUACUUUUUCGUGGGGGAUAACGUAGGGAAACUUACGCUAAUACCGCAUACGACCUACGGCUGAAAUCAGGGUAGCUUCGGACCUUGCGCGAUUGAAUGAGCCGAUGUGGGUUUAGCUAGUUGGCUGGUUAAAGGCCGACCAAGGCGACGAUCCUUAGCUGGUCUGAGAGGAGGGUCGGCCAAACUGGAACUGAGACACGGUCCAGACUCCUACGGGAGGCAGCAGUGGGGAAUAUUGGACAAUGGGCGAAAGCCUGAUCCAGCAAUACCGCGUGGGUGAAGAAGGCCUUCGGGUUGUAAAGCCUUUUUGUUGGGAAAGAAAAGCAGCAGGUUAAAACCCCGCUGUUCUGACGGUACCCAAAGAAUAAGCACCGGCUAACUUCGUG